CACAGGGAGCUUGCUCCUGGGUGACGAGCGGCGGACGGGUGAGUAAUGUCUGGGAAACUGCCUGAUGGAGGGGGAUAACUACUGGAAACGGUAGCUAAUACCGCAUAACGUCGCAAGACCAAAGAGGGGGACCUUCGGGCCUCUUGCCAUCAGAUGUGCCCAGAUGGGAUUAGCUAGUAGGUGGGGUAACGGCUCACCUAGGCGACGAUCCCUAGCUGGUCUGAGAGGAUGACCAGCCACACUGGAACUGAGACACGGUCCAGACUCCUACGGGAGGCAGCAGUGGGGAAUAUUGCACAAUGGGCGCAAGCCUGAUGCAGCCAUGCCGCGUGUAUGAAGAAGGCCUUCGGGUUGUAAAGUACUUUCAGCGGGGAGGAAGGUGUUGAGGUUAAUAACCUCACCAAUUGACGUUACCCGCAGAAGAAGCACCGGCUAACUCCGUGCCAGCAGCCGCGGUAAUACGGAGGGUGCAAGCGUUAAUCGGAAUUACUGGGCGUAAAGCGCACGCAGGCGGUCUGUCAAGUCGGAUGUGAAAUCCCCGGGCUCAACCUGGGAACUGCAU
rnacentral:rRNA from 1 species